rnacentral:rRNA from 1 species
AGGACGAACGCUGGCGGCGUGCUUAACACGUGCAAGUCGAGCGGAAAGGCCCUUCGGGGUACUCGAGCGGCGAACGGGUGAGUAACACGUGAGUAAUCUGCCCCUAGCUCUGGGAUAGCUCCGGGAAACCGGGAUUAAUACCGGAUACGACCACUUUAGACAUCUGUUGUGGUGGAAAGAAUUUUGGCUAGGGAUGAGCUCGCGGCCUAUCAGCUUGUUGGUGGGGUAAUGGCCUACCAAGGCGACGACGGGUA